AUUGAACGCUGGCGGCAGGCCUAACACAUGCAAGUCGAACGAGUGGCGGAAGGGUGAGUAAUGUCUGGGAAACUGCCCGAUGGAGGGGGAUAACUACUGGAAACGGUAGCUAAUACCGCAUAACAUAGGAUGUGCCCAGAUGGGAUUAGCUCGUAGGUGGGGUAAAGGCUAACCUGGGCGACGAUCCCUAGCUGGUCUGCAAGGAUGACCGGCCACCCUGUAACUGGACCACUGUCUAGACUCCGACGGGAGGCAGCAGGGGGGAGUAUGGCACAAUGGGCGCAAGCCUGAUGCAGCCAUGCCGCUUGUAUGAAGAAGGCCGUCGGUUUGGAAAGUACUUUCAGCGGGGAGGCGUUACCCGCAGAAGAAGCACCGGCUAACUCCGUGCCAGCAGCCGCGGUAAUUC
rnacentral:rRNA from 1 species